GAUGAACGCUGGCGGCGUGCCUAAUACAUGCAAGUCGAGCGAAUGGAUUAAGAGCUUGCUCUUAUGAAGUUAGCGGCGGACGGGUGAGUAACACGUGGGUAACCUGCCCAUAAGACUGGGAUAACUCCGGGAAACCGGGGCUAAUACCGGAUAAUAUUUUGAACUGCAUGGUUCAAAAUUGAAAGGCGGCUUCGGCUGUCACUUAUGGAUGGACCCGCGUCGCAUUAGCUAGUUGGUGAGGUAACGGCUCACCAAGGCAACGAUGCGUAGCCGACCUGAUAGGGUGAUCGGCCACCGUGGGACUGAGACACGGCCCAGACUGCUACGGGAGGCAGCAGUAGGGAAUCUUCCGCAAUGGACGAAAGUCUGACGGAGCAACGCCGCGUGAGUGAUGAAGGCUUUCGGGUCGUAAAACUCUGUUGUUAGGGAAGAACAAGUGCUAGUUGAAUAAGCUGGCACCUUGACGGUACCUAACCAGAAAGCCACGGCUAACUACGUGCCAGCCGCCGCCGUAA
rnacentral:rRNA from 1 species